AGACCCGAAACCCGGUGAUCUAGCCAUGGGCAGGUUGAAGGUUGGGUAACACUAACUGGAGGACCGAACCGACUAAUGUUGAAAAAUUAGCGGAUGACCUGUGGCUGGGGGUGAAAGGCCAAUCAAACCGGGAGAUAGCUGGUUCUCCCCGAAAGCUAUUUAGGUAGCGCCUCGUGAAUUCAUCUCCGGGGGUAGAGCACUGUUUCGGCUAGGGGGCCAUCCCGGCUUACCAACCCGAUGCAAACUGCGAAUACCGGAGAAUGUUAUCACGGGAGACACACGGCGGGUGCUAACGUCCGUCGUGAAGAGGGAAACAACCCAGACCGCCAGCUAAGGUCCCAAAGUCAUGGUUAAGUGGGAAACGAUGUGGGAAGGCCCAGACAGCCAGGAUGUUGGCUUAGAAGCAGCCAUCAUUUAAAGAAAGCGUAAUAGCUCACUGGUCGAGUCGGCCUGCGCGGAAGAUGUAACGGGGCUAAACCAUGCACCGAAGCUGCGGCAGCGACACUAUGUGUUGUUGGGUAGGGGAGCGUUCUGUAAGCCUGUGAAGGUGGCCUGUGAGGGUUGCUGGAGGUAUCAGAAGUGCGAAUGCUGACAUAAGUAACGAUAAAGCGGGUGAAAAGCCCGCUCGCCGGAAGACCAAGGGUUCCUGUCCAACGUUAAUCGGGGCAGGGUGAGUCGACCCCUAAGGCGAGGCCGAAAGGCGUAGUCGAUGGGAAACGGGUUAAUAUUCCCGUACUUGGUGUUACUGCGAAGGGGGGACGGAGAAGGCUAUGUUGGCCGGGCGACGGUUGUCCCGGUUUAAGCGUGUAGGUGUGUGUUCCAGGUAAAUCCGGUUCACUUUAACACUGAGGCGUGAUGACGAGGCACUACGGUGCUGAAGCAACAAAUGCCCUGCUUCCAGGAAAAGCCUCUAAGCAUCAGGUAACAUCAAAUCGUACCCCAAACCGACACAGGUGGUCAGGUAGAGAAUACCAAGGCGCUUGAGAGAACUCGGGUGAAGGAACUAGGCAAAAUGGUGCCGUAACUUCGGGAGAAGGCACGCUGACACGUAGGUGAAGUGAUUUACUCA
rnacentral:rRNA from 1 species